rnacentral:rRNA from 1 species
CAACGACCCUCGGCAACGGAUAUCUCGGCUCUCGCAUCGAUGAAGAACGUAGCGAAAUGCGAUACUUGGUGUGAAUUGCAGAAUCCCGUGAACCAUCGAGUCUUUGAACGCAAGUUGCGCCCGAAGCCGUCAGGCCGAGGGCACGUCUGCCUGGGCGUCACGC